UGAUACACCGUGUGACCUUAGCAGAAUUGCUCAAAUUUAGCAAUGAAACUGAUAGAUUUACAUGAUGCAUAUGCAGCAAGACUCUUUGUCUUCAUGUCCUUGUGCUCAUUAUAAAAGUAUGGACGCAGAGCAUGGUUUAUAGAGUGAUGAUAAAAUAUACCAUGGCACCUGGGCUCCCUGCAGAGCUCUGAAGAUUUAUCUGUCUUUAGAUGAGAAGCCCGGCUCGAGUUGAGCAGAGCAUGUCUACUCUUUGCACUUAUGUCCAGAGGAAGAAGACCUUGAAAAAAGCUGUUCUGAUCUGGAUAGGAAGAUCAAAUACCUGGAGAAUGGCAUAGAAAGAGCCAUCACAGGGAGAAGAGGACAUCCAGUUGUGCUGAUGUAAUAAAC
rnacentral:lncRNA from 1 species